rnacentral:rRNA from 1 species
UACAGAGGGGGGCAAGCGUUGUUCGGAAUUACUGGGCGUAAAGGGCGCGUAGGCGGCCUGUUAAGUCGAACGUGAAAUCCCCGGGCUCAACCCGGGAACUGCGUCCGAUACUGGCAGGCUUGAAUCCGGGAGAGGGAUGCGGAAUUCCAGGUGUAGCGGUGAAAUGCGUAGAUAUCAGGAGGAACACCAAUUGCGAAGGCAGCUCGCUGGGACGUUACUGACGCUGAGACGCGAAAGCGUGGGGAGCAAACAGG